AGCAGAUCAAACCAGUGGAGUAUGAGGAGUGCAGCAUCCGGUGUCUGUGUAACUCAAAUAGCAGUUGAAGAGGGGGACACAUACAAUAGAUCUCCCCCUCCCUGUACGUGCUCUCCAUCUAAGAGGCAACGGCUCAGUGCCAAAACUGAAGCACAAGGACUCAUUGAAGAAAGCUCUCUUGGUCCCAUUUUUCUCGCUUCCUUAAGCAGUUGGUUGCCCAUUCCCCCGUCCUCAGUCUGGUGAGCUACUCAUUUGUUUAAUAUGUUUAAUGUCUUAAGCAUCCUUCAUUAUGUCUUUUUAAUACACACACAAACAAUGAGUGUGCUUUAUAUCACAUUAACAAUUCCAUUUGACCAAGCACUGUAAUGUUUUUGUCUAAUUAGCUUUCAUGGGAUGUGACUUCGAUAGUGAUUUGGCAGCGAGUCAGAGUUAACAGCCAAUCAGAGAGAUCGUAAGAGCCUCUAAACGGACUGUUUUGCUGUGUUGCACUGGCUUGACAUAAUGAUCAUUAGUGCAUGCGUCUGUUAUAAUGUGAGUAAUUAGAGUUACGUCUAAUGCAUAAACCUGAAACACUUCAUUUAACUCUGUGUUGUCUCUGGCCUGAGUAAGACACAUAUAUUUCAUUAUCCCUUUCCUGAGGCUGAAUUAUAUUGCAUGUGAAACAAGCCUGUCAGAUUACAUUUGUAUUUAUAUUUCUGUCACACAGGUUUUACUUGACAACAUUUUAAUUGGCUAGGUUUGCUGCUUGAUUAAAGCUGUCACAUACAAGAUAUAAAAACAGAGCUGUGAUACUAUUAGUGCAGUUGUUACUGUUGCCAUAAGCAAUUCUAUUUGAAUUAGUGUCCCUGAAUAAGCAUCAGAAAGGGGGCGACAUCCUCGACUGCCAGAGACUUAAUGAGCUCACACAUGCACAUUGUUGCUCGUAUCAGUGUAGGUAUGGAGUAUGUGCUCGAUAUUCAAAAUAUAAAUCACCACCCUAAUGAUUGAGAACCAUAAGUUUUUAGGUUCUCAUUUAGCUUUAAUAACCUUGUUUCUGGUAUUGUUUCUUAUUAUUAGUGAUUUUAAGUGAUUUUAGUACCUUAACUUAAACUUAUUUUAUUUUAUUUAGUUGCCA
ensembl:lncRNA